UACGUAGGUGGCAAGCGUUGUCCGGAAUUAUUGGGCGUAAAGCGCGCGCAGGUGGUUUCUUAAGUCUGAUGUGAAAGCCCACGGCUCAACCGUGGAGGGUCAUUGGAAACUGGGGAACUUGAGUACAGAAGAGGAAAGUGGAAUUCCAAGUGUAGCGGUGAAAUGCGUAGAGAUUUGGAGGAACACCAGUGGCGAAGGCGACUUUCUGGCCUGUAACUGACACUGAGGCGCGAAAGCGUGGGGAGCAAACAGG
rnacentral:rRNA from 1 species